rnacentral:rRNA from 1 species
UACCAGCACCCCGAGUGGUCGGGACGUUUAUUGGGCCUAAAGCAUCCGUAGCCGGUUCUACAAGUCUUCCGUUAAAUCCACCUGCUUAACAGAUGGGCUGCGGAAGAUACUAUAGAGCUAGGAGGCGGGAGAGGCAAGCGGUACUCGAUGGGUAGGGGUAAAAAUCCGUUGAUCCAUUGAAGACCACCAGUGGCGAAGGCGGCUGCCAGAACGCGCUCGACGGUGAGGGAUGAAAGCUGGGGGAGCAAACCGGG